UACAGAGGUCUCAAGCGUUGUUCGGAUUCAUUGGGCGUAAAGGGUGCGUAGGUGGCGCCGUAAGUCAGGUGUGAAAUCUCGCGGCUCAACUGCGAGGCUGCCUCCUAAACUGUCGGGCCCGAGCACAGUAGAGGCAGGUGGAAUUCCCGGUGUAGCGGUGGAAUGCGUAGAGAUCGGGAAGAACAUCGGUGGCGAAGGCGGCCUGCUGGGCUGUUGCUGACGCUGAGGCGCGACAGCGUGGGGAGCAAACAGG
rnacentral:rRNA from 1 species